rnacentral:rRNA from 1 species
AGUGAACGCUGGCGGUAGGCCUAACACAUGCAAGUCGAACGGCAGCACAGGAGAGCUUGCUCUCUGGGUGGCGAGUGGCGGACGGGUGAGGAAUACAUCGGAAUCUACUUUUUCGUGGGGGAUAACGUAGGGAAACUUACGCUAAUACCGCAUACGACCUACGGGUGAAAGCAGGGGACCUUCGGGCCUUGCGCGAUUGAAUGAGCCGAUGUCGGAUUAGCUAGUUGGCGGGGUAAAGGCCCACCAAGGCGACGAUCCGUAGCUGGUAUGAGGGGAUGAUCAGCCACACUGGAACUGGAACACGGUCCAGACUCCUACGGGAGGCAGCAGUGGGGAAUAUUGGACAAUGGGCGCAAGCCUGAUCCAGCCAUACCGCGUGGGUGAAGAAGGCCUUCGGGUUGUAAAGCCCUUUUGUUGGGAAAGAAAUCCAGCUGGCUAAUACCCGGUUGGGAUGACGGUACCCAAAGAAUAAGCACCGGCUAACUUCGUGCCAGCCGCCGCCGUAA